AGAAUGACAAAAGUCAACAACCAGUGCCAAGGAGUGUUCAGACUGGUGAAGGUACCUGUCUCUGAGCAGAGGGAGGUGUCCAAAGCAUUUCUCUACUACUUGUUGACUGGGCGAUAUAUUGCAAACUGUUUUUAAAUGACCUAAACCAGAAAAAUUAUUUCAGUGACUAUAAGGAAGAAAAUGGCCUUCAACAACAAUGAAGGAAUAAUUUUCCAAUGGAAAUGAGCAAUUCUGCCUGAGAAAGAAGGGAAUCCAGCUCACAUGCCCAUACCAUUGUCAGGUUUUGUGGCAUAACCCACACUGCAGCAUGUCCUCUUGACCGCUUUAUGCCCUAAUACAGAGGCUGUGAGUCUACUAACAUGGUGAUGAAGGAAGAGGUUUCUUUUUUCCUAGUUUUCUCUUUGUUAAAGAAAAAGAAAAAGAAAAAAAGGAAAAAAGGAAAAGGAAAAGGAAAAGGAAAAGGAAAAGGAAAAGGAAAAGAAAAAGGAAAAGGAAAAGGAAAAGAAAAAGGAAAAGAAAAAGAAAAGGAAAAAGAAAAAGAAGAAGAAAAAGAAAAAGAAGAAGAAAAAGAAAAAGAAAAAGAAAAAGAAAAAGAAAAAGAAAAAGAAAAAGAAAAAGAAAAGGAAAAAGAAAAAGAAAAGGAAAAAGAAAAAGAAAAAGAAAAGGAAAAAGAAAAAGAAAAAGAAAAAGAAAAAGAAAAAGAAAAAGAAAAAGAAAUGGAAAAAGAAAAAGAAAAAGAAAA